rnacentral:lncRNA from 1 species
GCACCUAAAAGAACAGACAUUGUGAAUUUAAUAAUUCAUCAAUUCAAAUAUGAGACAGUUGAUCACAGAGGGAACUGGACAAAAACAAAUCCCCCAAAAUGACUCAGUUGAUUCGCUGUCUGUACCCAGGUAUGAUCCAGAUGUAUGAGUUUGUGUUAUUCACAUCAUUCAUAAUGCACAUCAAGACAAGAUUAAAAUCUACAGUGUGAAGUAGUAACUUGUUGAAUUCAAAUUGAAGGAGAAAAAAAUGAGUAUUUGAAUUGAUUCAUCAUAGCCACUCUGAUAUGAUACAAUUUAAUUUUGAAGAAGAAAAAUGAUUUAUAUACACAUUUCUUAGUAAAAUUUUCUAUUUCUUGCUAAUAACAUUUUAAUUCAGAAAAUGCAUUGAGCACCUUAGAUUACAUAUUGUUGAACUAUUGGCAUUAAUAUCUGUAUUUUCAUGUUAUUUAC